CAAGAAGGAGCAGUUAAUUGGUACAAAAAGAAUAACAAGUGUGGGCACAGAUCCGAAACCAGGAUUUAUUUAGGAAGAUUUUCUGGUUAUUAUCUACUUAGGAACAGAGGAUUUGUCAGAACAACUCAGCACAUUUUCAUCAAAUCUGGCAUCCUGCAUGUACGGGGAUAGUGAGAGGAUUUAUUAGAGGGAAAACUCUUUCUAGCCUCCCCCAGAAGGGCAGGUACAGGGCCCAGAGCUGUUGGGAAGGGGAGCAGAGGCAACGCUGAGGGUAGAACCAGAACUGGCUGCAGGUACCCAGUUCCCAUGAGACUGGAGCCAGCAAAAGCAGCUUCAGCCUGACUGGAGCCUGGGCUGGAGCUGACACAGCUGAAGUGGAGGUGCUGCCCCACUCCUGCCUGCAGGCUGGGCAAGAGCUAGCCUUGGGCUACUGCAUGUUAAUCUAAACCCAAAUGCUUUUUCAACUCGGCCCCAACACGGGCCACAUCCAGCUGGUUCCGUCAAAAGGAUCCAUCGGCCCUCCCUGUCACAUCUGGCUGCUAGGAGACUGGCAGCACAAAAUCCCCAGGCUUCACUAAGAAAAACGUUUUCUGAUAGUCUCACUGAUGUUCCAGUAACAACAACAUCAUCUGAAAUAUCAAGCGCUUGGGAAAUGUUUGUUUUACAAAAUGGGGUAGGAGCUGCUACAAAAACAAGCUCUGUUAGUAAAAAGAAAAUAUUCCCUUGUCAACAAGCAAAGAAAAAAAAAAAAGUGCGCGUACCCAAAGGCAAGAGCCCUGGGAAAUGCCCUUUCCCAUGCACAGUGGCAGGGCUGCUGGGGCCCUGGCAGGCCAGCUCGAUGGCAGCGGGUGAGAGCCGUGGCUGGUGUGGGAGCAGUGGGGCUGCGGUGGCCUCAGCCGCGUGAGCCGAGUUCCUCACUGCUGUUCUCAUUUAUAAAUAGAAAGGCAGUUAGUUAUUAUUAGAGCUUGUUGAGUGGGUUUGGAGGAACUACAGAAAACCUUUCCAAAUGAGCUGCUUUCCAGUUCAAGCAAAGCUCCUGGGGUCACAUCUGGAGGAGAAAGUCACGAGGAGCACCUGGAGUCUUGGAGACGGGUCUGGGCUGGUCUCACAAUGAAGGGCUUCACCUUGGCACCAGGUCGUGGUGCUCCCGGCAUGCCUCUCCCUAAGGGUGGUCUGUCCUCACCCUACUCUGUGCACCCACGAUUCCCACGCCUGUGAUAACAAGGCGAGAAACAGAGAAACUUGCCUCGGGCCUUGUAUCUCCAGCACCUUCCCCUGGACCUCGGAGGGUACAGCCAGCUCCUGCACCGUCACACCAUCCCCAGGCACACGAGGAAGCUGUUUCCCACACCGCAUAGGUGGCACAAGGAGAGCUUUUUGUCACAUCUUCCGGCUGCCCCAAGACCUCUGGGGGCUCGUGGAUGAGCACAGAAAGAUGAAGAUGUACACCUGGAAAACCCAGAAGGCGGCUCAGUUCUCCUGGCUCCGGCAGAAGAAACACCAUCGGGUGCUGGAAGUCUGGAGUGUUUUCUUGGAGACUUGCCUGUAGGUGUUCAUGCUGAAGUUCCCGUGUCCGCAGCCAGGACAAACAUUUGGAGAAGGGGGAUGUUUUUUCCCCUCACGCUCAUGCACCAACCUCCCUGCCUCCUCUUAGUCUCAUCUGUGGCAUACAUCGGGAUGUGAAAGCUUGCCCCUAUCAGUGGGUCUGAAGAAUUAGUGACCACAUAGCCCUGCAGUGCUGUGCUCUCUACAGCCUCCCCCCACCAGCACUGCCAGGGGCAUUUGUGCCAAGACAACCAUCCGUUUUCAACAGAAAUGCAAGAAUUCAAGCCCUGCUAAUUAUCAGCACCCCACACACAGCUUUGUCCCCUGUUAGUGAAGAAUAAAAACCCAUCUCCAGGCUGCUGUCUCCACUGAUGCCCAGUGUUUGCCUUGGACCACACUGAAUUUUUUUAGAAGUCGGGUCAUAAAAAAAAAAAAACAAAAACAAAAAACACGUGUAGAAGAACUGCCGUGCCUUUCUUUAUCUCUUCCUUCAUAAGGACUUCCCUCAGAAGAACUCUGCUGAAGUCAUAAGUCACAAAGGGGCUUUUUCAGGCACCAGAGAUAUGUUUUCUCCCAAAGAGAAAUCGAGCUAGGACAGAUUUUUACGGACUCUUCUUGUUCCUGCGCUGCCCCGAGCACACGGACUGCUCCAUACACCACGGAAGGGCAGGGCCAGCCAAGGGCUGAGCACAGGAGGAGGGGGCCUGAACACGUGCACAUCUUAUCCCUAAUAAUGGAAAAAUCUGCAGCCAGUAAUGACUAUUACUGCAGUACAAAUGUACACAGUGGGAGAGACUCCAGCAGACCCUCCUGAAAUCUUUUUUGUAUGACUAACUGCAGGAGAGAAGAGCCCUUCUGCAAGAGCCAGGGAGGGCUCUUCCACGUGCAGCCAGACUAAAGCAGAACCAUGUCUUUUCCUUUGGAAUGAGACAUUUUAACUUCUCUGUGCUGCGCUUUGCAAGGAACCAGUCCUUGCAGUGAGGGUGUCACAGCAUCUGUUGGGAUCCAAGAGGGGACAGUGGCUCAGGAGGGAGCUGGGGACACAUCCCUAUUCCAUUAUUUUUGCAGCCCAGGAAGAUGGCAAUGCAGUGAGACCCACCAACAGUGCCUCGCUUGCUCCUCGUGUUGUUAUUUUAAUCUGAUCCCAAAUGAAGAACAGGCCACCAGCCCAUCCCACCAUGGAUGCUGCCAGCAGCGGGAUGCUGAGCAGUGUGGCACGCCCGGCCCUGUUUGUUUACCAUGACAUUAGUCACUCGUUUUCCAAAUCCUUUGGAAAAAAACACAGCCAAAGGUCCAAUGCUCCAGCCUUUCUGCUGCCAGACCAACGUCAGAAGCCACAAGAAACAAAUGGACCAAUUUUGAGGCCACUUGUGCCCCACAGUAAAGAUAGAGGGUGAGGCUAAAGCAACGUCCCAUAAAUCUGCUUGGACAACAAGUCCCAAGUGCCUUUUAACUCUCCACCUUUGCAGCUCCCUGAGCUCCUGUCAUCUGUCAUGGUUUGGCUCCUGUCAUGUCAUAUUUGGCCUCAACACAGCAUCGCCACAUGAGAUCUGGGUGGGAGAAGGGCUCGGGUGAGACUGAAAAACAGUCCACGGGACCCACCCCCACCAGCUGGCGUUCAGUCAGUCUUAUGCACAGCAUCACCUGAAAACUGCUGCUAGGAUCCUUCAACGUCCACUUCAACCUCUUCCAUGAGGUUAGGAGGGGUUUGCCAUCCUCUCCUGUCCCUACAGCCUCCGGCUCCUGUACCCCCCAGGGCGGGCUGGGACCCGCCACACAGUGCAGAGCCUGGCAGCAUCCUCCUGCAUGCACUGCCUCGGGCACCCCGGUACCCACAGCUGCAAACACCCUCCUUUUCACCUCUCCCAUCUGCUGCCUUCAGCCUCCAGUUUUCACACCCAUUCAACGCUCUGCUUGUGCCAAAGGAGAGCUUGUUACCAGCCCAACACAUGCCUCCCCCUGGAAAUGCUCCUAACCCACCACAGUAAUGAAGAGCCUGACCCUGCUCUUUUAUGGUAUGUUUGGACUAUUCCCCACUUUCACAGUCAGUAAAACCCAGCAGAAUCCACACGUGACUCUGUGUUACUGACUGCUCGGUGCAGGGUCUAAUAGGGACCGUAGGCUGCGUAAAUGAGCAUUUACCUUCUGGGGCUUCCUCCUGGUGGCAGCAGGAUGGGUACCACACUAAGCAGAGCUCAGCGUGUGGCCGGAGCACGUCUUGCCUCCCCAGCCCGACAGCAAGUGGCACUCUCUCCACGCAGAAGCCCACGGGCAGUGGCUGACGUGGCCACAGGGCUUCUUUCUCUCAAAAGCAGAAGGAACCCAUCAUCCGGCCAAGGAAGAUGUAAUUCUCCGGUACAUGAUGGCACAGGGCCAGUUCCCUUCUCCGGCUGCUCUUCAUUAAUCAAAGGCAAAGUGCUGCAAAGCAGAACAUUUCACAGCAAGUUUUCCUUUCCUGGCGGGUGAGGACAGGAUCUGAUAGCUCCACUGUCUGGGACAGCGUUGGGUGCCAACCUCCUCCUCUCUAUCAGCCAUAACACGAGUGGGCCUCGACAGCUCCCAGCACAGGCAGGAGUGAGACCGUCGGGGUUUCUGCGCUGACCCCGAAUUCUGAUCCAACCCCACACCAGCUCAGGGCUCGUUGCCACAAGGGUGAUUCCCUCUGGGGGGGGGGCAAAACGGAGUCCUGGCCCCAUGCUGCAGAUGUUAACAGGGCUUUUGAGAGCACGUGGAUUUAUUCUGAGGUUGGGUCUCUAGAAAUCAACUCAAAGAGUCUAAUAAAACCAUUUUUAAAACGUGUG